GUCCUUCCAGAAAAAAGUAAAUUGGAUUUCGAGCUUGGAUGGAUAAGCGGCGAUGAGGUCAACAAAGUCGAACUAAAUUUUUCAAAAAUUGCUAAAUCAUCCCAAUAAGAUUUAAAUUUAUAAGAGCAGGUCCAACUUAUUUUCCUAUUAAUAUAAUUACUGUUUCUACUAGUACUUGCAAAGAUCCAAGCCAAGACUUCACAGCCUUCCAUUUUCCGACUUAAAGCUCAGAUAAAUAACCUCGCCGGCGAGACGCUUUUUCACCGUUGAAUCCAGUGUUAGGCUGACUAGAGAUGGCAACAGCUACAUAUCCACCACCGCCACCGUUUUACAGGCUCUACAAAGAUUACUUACAAAACCCUAAAUCAGCACCGGAGCCUCCGCCGCCUAUUGAAGGCACUUACGUUUGCUUUGGUGGCAACUAUACCACUGAUGAUGUGCUUCCGAGUUUGGAAGAUCAAGGGGUUCGCCAACUCUACCCCAAAGGACCUAAUAUUGAUUUCAAGAAGGAAUUGAGGUCGCUUAACAGAGAAUUGCAACUACAUAUUUUGGAGCUUGCAGAUGUUCUCGUCGAGAGACCAUCACAAUACGCUAGACAAGUGGAGGAGAUAUCUCUCAUAUUCAAGAACUUGCACCACUUGCUGAAUUCAUUGCGCCCCCAUCAGGCUAGAGCAACACUAAUUCACAUUCUAGAACUUCAGAUACAACGGCGUAAAGAAGCUCUGGAGGAUAUUAAGAGGGGGGAAAUUUUACUCCCGAGAAUUUAGAAGAGUGCAUGGCCCUUUCACUGGAGACAAAGAACAUUCCUCUCAGAAUUUUCAUAAGGAGGCGAGAAGAAGCACGAAGACUACUCAAGGAAUCGCUCGGGACCUUAGAUGGACAGUAGCACUUUGAUUUUGAGCUCAAAUUUCAAAUCACUUCCUUAUAAGGUCGAUUCCGUAAACCGAACUAACAUUUCUCAUGAAUCCUACUAGUUUGAAAUAGAUCCAGUGUUUGUAGUUAAAAAGCUUCAUAUUCUCCCAACUUGAGUUAGUAUAGUUUUUGUAUUGAUGUGAAAUUUGUAUCUGUUUAUAUUGAAAUCACUUGCAGACAAAA